AGAGUUUGAUCCUGGCUCAGGAUGAACGCUGGCGGCGUGCUUAACACAUGCAAGUCGAACGGACCCAUAUUGAAACCUGGUGAUAUAUGGGUUAGUGGCGGACGGGUGAGUAACGCGUGGGCAACCUGCCUUACACAGGGGGAUAACACUUAGAAAUAGGUGCUAAAACCGCAUAAGCGCACAGCUUCGCAUGAAGCGGUGUGAAAAACUCCGGUGGUGUAAGAUGGACCCGCGUCUGAUUAGCUUGUUGGCGGGGUAACGGCCCACCAAGGCGACGAUCAGUAGCCGGCCUGAGAGGGUGGACGGCCACAUUGGGACUGAGACACGGCCCAGACUCCUACGGGAGGCAGCAGUGGGGAAUAUUGCACAAUGGGGGAAACCCUGAUGCAGCGACGCCGCGUGAGUGAAGAAGUAAUUCGUUACGUAAAGCUCUAUCAGCAGGGAAGAAAAUGACGGUACCUGAGUAAGAAGCCCCGGCUAACUACGUG
rnacentral:rRNA from 1 species